AGCGGACCGUGGAGGCCGGGUGCAGCCCCGUCGGCUCCGCGCUCUCGGCAGAAAAGGCUUUUAUACGCCCCCUGCCCAUCACUUGGAUCUGAUCUGGGUAAGGGGGGGAUUUUUUUCUGGAAGUAACCCCCCCCCACCCACGGUGAAGGAUUUGAGGCUGGGCUCCAAUCGAGGAGGAGGCUGCAGGGCCCGCGGGGCGCCCCCCACCCCGAGCACGCCUCCCGGGAGCCCUGGAAGGCGCAGCCCCGGGGGGCCCCCUGCACCCCCGGAGGAGGCAGCGGCGGCUUGAUCUCCAUCGCUUCACAUAACUACCAUACGAAGUAGGAGUUACUGCCCUCAUUUUCUAAAUAACAUCGUAACCACCAACAUAUAUUGAGUGUUUUAUACGAAGUAAGCACUUUACAGCAUUUGUGUCCUCAAGCUUCAUCCAUGCUGGGCUUCCCUG